GUGGCUAUGCUCUACGACAGUGAUGUAAGGGAGAAGUGGCAACACAAAUGAGUUGUUACGAGAGUUCAAGAAUUUGUUACUCCCGUUGCAACCCACGGGCAUGUGAGAGAAAAUAUUCUGCCAGAGCUCUCCUAGCGCGUCCACUUUCUUCCGUGGCCAGCAGCAGCGACAAAAAUUCUGGGCACUUAGGGACACCUCACCACUGGAUGAAACUCACAAUGACCGGAAUCUACAACGUCCAGUGUGUCAUGGCGUCCCUCCUCUAGCUCACUCAUGAUCUUCGCACGUGACCUGCGGUGAGGACCAGUUUCUUAGGGGACAUAGUUGAAGAGCAGCAUUGAUUGGUAAGCCUCGUAUGGUAUUACUUUACUUGCAUAAUAAGUAUGUAUAUUUACAAAGUUAAAUAAGUAUGUAUAUUUUAGGCCUAUAAUUUACUAACUAUUUCAAUCUCUCUUGUGGAUCUGUGGUGAGGUGCGUGGUGACCUGUGGCGCCUGAGGGCAUCUGGAUGUUGGUAGACACACUAAGUUGCGGCGGCCACCAGCUGCAGUAGCUGCACUACAGGGCGGCGGGCGGCAGUAGCAAGAUGAGGCAGCGACCAGCAGCAGCUGCACUACGGGGCGGCGUUAGCAAGUAGCAGCAGUAAGGCGAGGCAGUGGGGAGCAGCGGAACAACCAUGCAAACUGCAAGAAGAAUGAAGCAGCGGUUGCAACAUAUGGUGAAUCAUCAGUUUACAGAUACCCAUGAGAUGAAAUACCAUGCUAUCUUUUAGUCAGAUAAGUUGAUGAUAUGUGCCAAAUUAUACAUGAUAGGCUCCUCAUUUCAAAAGGAUUAAAUGAGUCUAGAUGGUCAUGGCUUGUCGUCCGUCUUGAAGCGAAUUCAGAGCCCGGUAGGAUCGCACACCGUAUGGCUUGGACAUCGGAAGAAGAUACAAGAUUGACAAGCGUUCGGUCGAAAAACUCAAAUUAUUCCAUUGAUAGAAUAACAUGAAUAACAAGUACUGGGAUGACAUGGUUGUUACUACAACAGUAAAAGGCCAAGUCACGGGAGGAGAGAUGCUCAGCGUGUAUGAUGGACAUGGUGGCUCGGAGGUGAGGUUAUCUUCUCUUGAAAAUCUUGACCCACAAAAGAAAUUAACCUUGACGCCGUGGGAACCAGGAAAGCGUAGAUCAUGAAUGGCCCCACAAUUUGGUGGUGUUUGUGUGUUGUGCGGUCAAACCUUUCUACCGGCUCCAUUGCGAUGCAGCAGUAUCACCUUUUCUGGGAGAUGAGACGAUGGGAUGUGGCCGCGUCGUGCUACCUGUUGUUGUUGUUCUAGCUUUGUUGUGUGUGUGUGUGUGUGCGCGCGCGUGUGUGUGUGUGUGUGUG